AACCGCGGCAGCAGUUGGACAACGGAAUCUUCAGCCAGAUCCCAGAAUAACCACCUAAGCCUGAUCCUAGGCCUAGUUUCUAACGAACCCAGGGAUUCUAACCCCCCAUGGACCAACUGCCGUACGUCCUUCAGCCGCAAUUUGGGGCGCAUGCCAUCCACAGGUCCUUCCCUGAUAGCCCAUCCUUCUGCUCCUUCUGGUGAACACCAGCUGGCCACGACCGUUCCUUUUAGGCACCUGACAAUACAGCGCUCCCUUUCCCUAGCCCCCUGUAAUUUGUCCAAACCCUCCCCUGUAAUUUGAUUGUGCUCCUGACCUCCUCAGGGGAGUGACUGACAUGCCACACAAAAGAGCUUGCUUGCCCCCUGGAAUAAGUCCUGAGGCAGUUUCUCCGUUUUUGAAAUUUCUGACCCCUUAUCUAUAUGUGGGUCUUAGCUACUGGACUGUCACACACCUCAACUAAUAAGGAUCCGGGCAAGGUCUGUGCUCAAGCCUCUGUAGGAUUUCCAAAAAUACUUCGAUCCUACCCUUAAACAGAUCCUGAGAUCAAGAACUCAACCUGGCUUCAUUCGAGGAGAACCAUGUACGACACCAACUUCCUGUUUCAAAAUCCUAAAGUUACUAAAAUUCAAGUUGGAGCCAGAGCUGUCCAACGACAUCAGAGCAAGGAUGAUCCCUUGAUGGUAAUCUAUUUGAAUAUCAAUUAAAUCUGAGAAAUCAUCCCAGCUACCCACAACCUCACACAACCAAUGUCAAAUCUUCCAUCUGGGAACACUUCACCUACAGGACACGAGGGAAGUCAACACAACGCAUUCAACAUGACCGCUGCAGAGAUAGCUCUCAACCAGGCCUGCAACAGGGAAAAUCCGCAAUACCAGAUGAGCUAACAGUGGCGACAUGCUCCAUAGUUUUUUUCCACUUCCUCCAGCCAGCCAGAGAAGCUAAAAAUGUCCCAGGCCAACGCAAAGACCCAGCGGAAGCUUUAACAAACCAGCCAAUUAUUAAAGCAGGUUUUCUCCAUGGCAUAUUCUAGUGGUCAGGCUUAAAUUCCAGUUUUACAUUAAAUGUGAAUGGAACCACU